rnacentral:rRNA from 1 species
CGGUUGAUCCUGCCGGACCCUACCGCUAUCGGGUUAGGACUAAAACAUGCUAGUCGAUCGUCUCUAAACUUUAUCUUGAUAAGACGCGGCGUGCGGCUCAGUAACACGUGGCUAAUCUACCCUUAGGACGGGGACAACCCCGGGAAACUGGGGCUAAUCCCCGAUAGGUGAGGGGGUCUGGAAUGACCCCUCACCCAAAAGACGUUGAAACCAUGCUUUUCAACGUCGCCUAAGGAUGAAGCCGCGGCCGAUCAGGUUGUUGGUGAGGCAAAGGCUCACCAAACCUAUAACCGGUACGGGCCAUGAGAGUGGGAGCCCGGAGAUGGGCACUGAGACAAGGGCCCAGGCCCUACGGGGCGCAGCAGUUGCGAAAACUCCACAAUGCACGAAAGUGCGAUGGGGCUAACCCGAGUGCCGUCCGCUGAGGAUGGCUUUUCUCCGCUGUAAGGAGGCGGAGGAAUAAGGAGAGGGCAAGACUGGUGUCAGCCGCCGCGGUAAUACCAGCUCUCCGAGUGGUAGGGACGAUUAUUGGGCCUAAAGCGUCCGUAGCCGGCCUGGCAAGUCUCUCGUUAAAUCCAGCGACCCAAUCGCUGGGCUGCGAGAGAUACUGUCAGGCUUGGGAGCGGUAGAAGCCGACGGUAUUCUCGGGGUAGGGGUGAAAUCCUAUAAUCCCGGGAGGACCACCAGUGGCGAAGGCUGUCGGCUAGAACGCGUCCGACGGUGAGGGACGAAAGCUGGGGGAGCGAACCGGAUUAGAUACCCGGGUAGUCCCAGCUGUAAACGAUGCGGGCUAGGUGUUGGAGUGGCUACGAGCCACUCCAGUGCCGCAGGGAAGCCAUUAAGCCCGCCGCCUGGGAAGUACGGCCGCAAGGCUGAAACUUAAAGGAAUUGGCGGGGGAGCAC